CAGCAUCAUAGGAUUUGAAAUGCCAUUUUGAAAAAUGAGGGGACAAGAGAGCCAUCCUAUCCCAAAAGUUCCCCACAGAUUGAAUUGUGAAUUGCCCUUCAAGGUAGAAUAUCUUCUUGCUACUAAUGUUAAUUUCCUUUUUGCAAGAGUUUACGCUGAACCAUACAAAUAUAUUUUAAUUGGUGCAGCCUAUACAAGUCCAAAAGAAUGACGGGUAUUGGUAGAUGAACCGUCAGCGUGUGACUUCUCUUGCUACCAUGAUAGCACCCAGGGUGAUCAGCAUCAAUCGUGUCGGACAAUGAAAAUUGCGCACAACGUUUGCUUCCCCACUACUUGAAGGAGGAUCAACCUAGGUUAAAUAGUCAGGAUAUUUACAGGGGAUCCAGGAGAGAUCUUCUAGAUCAAAGGAUUGAGAAUCUUCAUUUUAAAUUCUUACUGUGGAAGGCUAUAUGCAAAUCUCUGAAGUUGUGCAGAGCUCGUACACUUGAUGGAGUAAAAAAAACAAUCAUUCUUUAUAUUUUUGGUAGUUUUGCUUUGUGUGAUCGGAGCCAACUAAAAAACUGGAAAUCAUACAUUUUGUAUAAAAUAGUUUGCGCAGCAGAUUUUCCAUUUUUUAUCUUUUUAUUUAAUUUAAUAUCUAUAGAAAGAGUAGACUAUAGUCAUUAAAGUUGUUAUAUUCACGGGUUGAGGAUCGUGUCACUGGGCGAUUAACAGGAAAAUCC
rnacentral:lncRNA from 1 species